UGCGUAGGUGGCAAGCGUUGUUCGGAAUUAUUGGGCGUAAAGGGCGCGUAGGCGGCUUGUUAAGUCGGUUGUGAAAGCCCGGGGCUCAACCCCGGAGAGUCGACCGAUACUGGCGAGCUAGAGUACGGAAGAGGUAGCUGGAAUUCCCGGUGUAGCAGUGAAAUGCGUAGAGAUCGGGAGGAACAUCUGUGGCGAAGGCGACUACCUGGACCAGCACUGACACUGAGGCACGAAAGCGUGGGGAGCAAACAGG
rnacentral:rRNA from 1 species